rnacentral:rRNA from 1 species
GACGAACGCUGGCGGCGUGCUUAACACAUGCAAGUCGAACGAUGACGACCGAGCUUUCUCGGUCUGAUUAGUGGCGAACGGUUGAGUAACACGUGAGCAACCUGCCCUUCACUUUGGGAUAACUUCGGGAAACAGGGGCUAAUACCGGAUAUGAGCUCCUGUCGCAUGGCGUGGGUUGGAAAGUUCUGCGGUGAAGGAUGGGCUUGCGGUCUAUCAGUUUGGUGGUGAGGUAGUGGAUCACCAAGGCGGUGACCGGUAGCCUGCCUGAGAGGGAGACCGGCCAAACUGGGGCUGAGACACGGCCCAGACUGCUACGAGAGGCAGCAGUGGGGAACAUUGCCCAAUGGGCGACCGCCUCAUGCAGCACCGCCGUGGGCGGGAUGACGGCCUUCCGGUUGUAACCCUCUUUCAGCAGUGACGAAGAGCAAGUGACGGUAACAGCAGAAGAAGCAACGGCUAACUACGUG